rnacentral:rRNA from 1 species
GUCUAUGGCCACACCACCCUGACCACGCCCAAUCUCGUCUGGUCUCAGAAGCUAAGCAGGGUUGGGCCUGGUUAGUACUUGGAUGGGAGAGCGACGUCCAUAUGGGAUGCCGAUGUUGCAGGCA